rnacentral:rRNA from 1 species
UACAGAGGGUGCGAGCGUUAAUCGGAAUUACUGGGCGUAAAGCGUGCGUAGACGGUUAUUUAAGUCGGGUGUGAAAGCCCCGGGCUCAACCUGGGAAUUGCAUUCGAGACUGAAUAGCUAGGGUGCGGUAGAGGGAAGCGGAAUUUCCGGUGUAGCGGUGAAAUGCGUAGAUAUCAGGAGGAACACCGGUGGCGAAGGCGGGUCUCUGGGCAACAACUGACGCUGAGGAGCGAAAGCGUGGGGAGCGAACAGGA